GCAGGGGAUGGCUUCAGCUGUACUUCCUGUUUCAGAGCUGAGGAAACAUGAGCCACUUGCAGAAUUUACUGUUAGAUACCCUCCUGGGAACCAAGCAUGUGGACAGUGCAGCACUCAUCAAACUCCAGGAGAGGACCCUAUGUGUUGCAUCACCAGGAUUUACCCUAAUGCCAGGUGACAUUCGAACACUUGUGAAUGGAUUUGCCAAAAACCCUUUGCAAACCAGAAGAGAAGGAUUAUAUUUCAAAGAAAUCGAUUACAAAUGUGUUCGGUCAGAUGACACUUCUCUUUAUGCCAAGAAUGAAAACACUGGUGUGAUUGUUGUGAAGACCCAUUUGUAUCUUCUGGUGGCCACGUAUACUGCGGGCAUGUAUCCCAGUGUUUGUGUGGAAGCCACAGAGAAGCUGGGAGAAUAUCUAAGAAAAAAAGGAAAUUAAGUCAUCAGAGGACUAUGGAAGACAACAGUACUAUUUUGGAAGAAAAGCAUAGAUGAUGACCACAACAAUAAAAGAAGAAGCCAUAGAACCUACUUUGAAACUUUUGGAUUCCACCCUGACCAUUCCUGGACACCCUGGGCCACUAGGGUUAAUAUACCCUUCAGGUAUUCUUAGGGAAAGUACAGCUCAGACCUCUGGCUAAGAGAAGGCCUAGGAAAUUCAAACUUAAUUCUAGUUUGGCAAGAUUGGACUAGCAUGAUCCUGUAUUAUAAGUAUAAUAACCACUCUCCAAAACCCUCUACAAUGUACUUAUACAGACCAAGGGGGAAAGUAGAAAGUCUCUGAGAGCUCCAGACCACACAGACACCAAGUCACAUACAGUGAAGUUUAUUGUCAGCGUGCUGACAGGCUGACCCUCUCCAGUAGGAACAGUGCCUGUCUUUGUACAAAGGGGUAUCUUUAUAAGGCCAGGGGCUGGGAUGGAGAAUUCCACUAGGGUUGGGGGGUACUUUGUGGUCACAGAUAGAAACUAAAGAUAAUGUGCAAUUCCAGGAGGGGGUAAGGACUAAAAUUUAUGGUUGCAGCACACAGGCAGAAAGUUACUUCAAGGGGACCUAUUGUUAUCACUUACGCUUGUAGCUGUCUAAACAGGACACUGCUUCCAGAAGAAAGCUGCAUUAUUGGUUGCAGCUGUCUGCUUCAAGAGACCCUGUGUCAGCUAAUUUCAGGAAAGGGCCAUACUUUAUAACAGGGCCUGAGACAGUGUGCCUUUUGAGAUGGAGAGCAGGAUAACAUUUCUUUUUUGUUUAAUAGGUAUGGUACUAGGCCGGGAGCAUGGGCAAUGCACUUCUUCUGAAACUACUUCCUGCUCUAAAGGGGCAAAGCAUUCAAGAUAGGGUUUCCCUGAGUUGUCGUUAGCCUGGUACCCUCUGAGAAGCAUCUGGUUGACGGUCUGAUUAGGAAAGGUCCUCAUCCUCUCCGUGAGAAUGUUCUGUAAAUGUCUGAAUAGGCAAGACAUAAUCUAUAAAAGGCAAUAAUUGCUGCUAGCACUCCCCCAAAAGGCAUAAUCCAGGUGGUAAUUGGUCCCUAGAAGGGGCUAUCAAAAUCUGGGAGACCCGGUUGGGCCUUAACUUUGUGGCUUUGAGGUUUUACUCUAUCCUGCCGGUCAUGUUGACAUAGAAGCAAAACUCCCAAACAAAAGGCAAGUAACCCAUUUUUGGAUGUUAGAUCCAGGACCCUUCUGUUUUGGAGGGCCAUGUUGGCCAGAGAGUUAGUAGCUAAGUUUGUAGCAGCUGGUUUCCUGGCUGGGGGACAGGAGGGUUUUGUGUACCUGGGUGUUAGAAGUUAUA